rnacentral:rRNA from 1 species
AACGAACGCUGGCGGCAUGCCUAAUACAUGCAAGUCGAACGAACACUUCGGUGUUAGUGGCGCACGGGUGCGUAACGCGUGGGAAUCUACCCUUGGGUUCGGAAUAACAGUUGGAAACGACUGCUAAUUACCGGAUGAUGACGUAAGUCCAAAGAUUUAUCGCCCAAGGAUGAGCCCGCGUAGGAUUAGCUAGUUGGUGA